AUCUUUUUAAAAUAUUCAAAAAAAAAAACCAAAUACUAAUGUUUUACAAAAAUAAACGCCCUUCGUUCUGGCCCGCCGUCUUUCCUCCCCCUCUGCCUCCGACAGCUUGCCGGGCCCGCGAAGGCCUGGAUCGUCGUCUCCGCCGCCGCCAUCGCUCUCUUCCUCCUCGUCAUCAUCUCCGGCCGCGUCGGGCCGUUGAUCCGGUGGGACCGCAAAUUCCCUGCCCCUCCUCCUCGGUCCCCUUCUAGGUUUUGGGGUUAAAUUUUAAUGCCCCAACUCUGUGAGAGGUACAAUGUAGUCAACUCUGCUUUUAUGAUUGGGUGUAGUUGCUUCGAAGGUGGCCAUCUCUCUGUUUGUUAGCUAACUAGAGGGUGUUUUGUGGCCAAAGGAAACAAAGAGGAGUAAUUAACUGAAGGCUAUUCGGAGGCCAUAUUUUUCAAUGGAGUUGAAUCAGUAGUAUCCUUUAGAGGAGAUAUGUAAAGAUAUUUUUCAACAUAUGCAGUUAGAAAUUGCCUCACAUGGACUGGAUCAAAGUAUGCAUUUACAGAUUUUUGAACUAAUUAAAGGGGAUGAUGGAGCAGGUUUUAUCUUUUGGAACAUUUAUGGGUUUGUUUUUGGUUCGAAGGUGUUUAUACUAUCAGAAUUAAAUAAUGUUAUUAUCUAUGAAGGUUAUUCUUGUUGAAUGCUCAGAAGAGGGGCCUUGAGAUAGAAAUUCACGAGUUCUUUUUAGAUCUAUGAAGGUUAUUCUUGCUGUUGAUAGUUCAUAUAACCAUCGAACAUCUCAAUUUUCAAACAAAGGAGGCUUAGGCAUAUAUAUGAUCUUCGGAAUCUUUCAAACCAUGGAGGCUUAGGCAAAUAUAUGACCUUUGAAAUCUUUCUAGGAAACGUGACUACGUAUAACUAGGACUUUUUUGUCCAUUUGCAGAAUGGUUCGCGUGCCUCCAUUAGGGUUUUCUUCCAUGUACUUCUACUCCUCUACUGAUGCGCUUGAUUACACAGUUUGUGGUUCAAUCGAAUUCUUCAGUUUCUUGUGUUGAAAGAAGACUUUCCAAGCAAUUUUAGAAGUUCAAAUCUGGAACUUCCUUAGUUAAACGGUUUAGCUUUCUACGAACACUUGGGAUAUGCAAUGAUAUAUGAAUUGGUAAAGGAGUAAUACAUGAGUUUACCUUGCAUUCUUCAGUCCUCCCUGCGUAUUGCAGUGCCUUUGGCGCAUUUAGUUGAUCCGAAAACAGAGUUGGCUUUAAAGACGUUGAAACUUAUGUUGACAUGAUAUUUCAAAUCUGAGUAUUGCAUAGGAGAAUGGUUUGCAACAAUAUAAAUAUGGAGGGUGGUGGUCAGUUUGGUGGAUGCAUACCCUAUAGUAUGGUUCUACCAAAAGAAGCAUUUUUCUACAAAAAGUAUUUGGAGCAAUAUACAUAUGCCAUCAUCUAUUCAUGACUCUGUUGCCCAGGAAAGGCAAGAUGAAUGAGAUCGGCAGAUACGACAUGACAGCCUUUAAGAUUCGUGAACAGGGUAGGAAUAAAUGUCUCAGUGACUUGAUUUCUCUUUUUGGGUCCGUGCCCUUAGCAGCAACAAGCAUGAAGGCUGUAGAUGCAUGACAAGAGUGAUUCUGGUAGUGAUGACUUCUCAAUCUCGGAUCGAGUGGAGCGAGACAAAAUCCGAAUAUGAAACACAGCAGUUCAAAAAGAGUUGUGCCAUGAUACAAGCUGCGACUUAAACCUACAAUUGAUGGCUGGGGAUUGAUGGUUUUUUGCCCCUGUUCUUGCGACUUUUGGACUUCUUGUUUUCUUUUCCUAUUAUUGCUGCUCCUUUUGGUCUUUGUAACUUUUUGUUUUUGAGGUCCAGCUAUCUCACUUGUUCUUCGCUUACUCAUUUCCCUGAUGAAUGGAGCAGGAAGCGGUGGUAACUCUUCUGAAGAACCUCCGCAGGCUCGCUUUCGAUAUUAAUACAAUCUGAGUUUGUAACUCGUGGUCCCAUCUUUUGAACUAACGAAAACAUAAGAAGUAGAGUAAUGCUUUGUCGAUUCAAUAUACCUCAAAAUAGUAUCGAUGAGUCUGUUUUGUAUAUAUGGCAGUCAGUAAAUGUGGUUUUGUACUUCUGAAA